CCCUGUCGAGGCUCUUGAAGGUUCACAGGGGAGCCUUCUCAGUGGUGCGCAGAUGUGUGAAGGUGCUGGCUGGCCAAGAAUAUGCUGCCAAGAUCAUCAAUACCAAGAAGCUCUCGGCCAGAGUUAUUUCUUGAGCACCUACUAUGAGCCAGGCAUUUGGGUAGAUGCCGGGGGUACAACAGAGACCAAAUCCUAGCCCUCAAGGACAGCGAUAUCCCUAUGACAGAGUGGGACAUGCUGUCCAGGAGCCCCAAGAGAACAGAGGAGGAGCCCCUACCAGCUGGCAGUCAGGGCAGGCUGCCAGGAGAGGGUAACAUCGAA